rnacentral:misc_RNA from 1 species
AACAUGUGACGAUGAUGACG